rnacentral:rRNA from 1 species
UGGCCCCGCAAGUCCGUCGGGAAAUCCAGUAGCUCAACUACUGGGCGGCCGGCGGAAACUACGGGGCUUGGGACCGGAAGGCUCGAGGGGUACGUUCGGGGUAGGAGUGAAAUCCCGUAAUCCCGAACGGACCACCGAUGGCGAAAGCACCUCGAGAAGACGGCUCCGACAGUGAGGGACGAAAGCUAGGGUCUCGAACCGGAUUAGAUACCCGGGUAGUCCUAGCCGUAAACGAUGCUCGCUAGGUGUGGCAGUGGCUACGAGCCACUGCUGUGCCGUAGGGAAGCCGAGAAGCGAGCCGCCUGGGAA